rnacentral:misc_RNA from 1 species
UGACCACUCAAGCCUUGGCUUGGUAUUGGGGUUCGCGGUUCCGCGGCUCUUAAAAUCAGUGGCGGUGCCGUCUGGUUCUAAGCGUAGUAAUUCUCUCGCUACAGAGUCCGGGUGGUUGCUUGCCAGAAUCCCCCCACUUUUAUA